rnacentral:lncRNA from 1 species
GUGGGAGUUGAUGAACUCAUGGACAGAAAAGAGAAGAAUUCUCCAAUUAAAAGUAAGUAACUCUUUUUCAGAAGAUUGCUUUGUGAUCUUUUCUAGCCUUAUAAUCUAUAAGCGAUGGACUGAUGGUUAAUUGUUUUUUUAUCCCUCCUUAGUCCUUGGUGCCUCUUUGAAUAAAUUUUUUACUUACCAAAUGAAAAAAAAAUGUCAUGAGGUUAUCAAGACAUUGAUUUUAUCAUCAAUGACAGUUGCAAUAGUAUGUUGGAUGAGAAAGUUGCUCCCCUUAUAGUUUUCAACCUAUUGCAUUUGUGGAGUAAAAUAGAUGCUUAUUGACUCUUCCACAAUUUAAAACUUUUCAUUUUCUCAAUGGAGGGGAGAAUGAUGCAGAACUAGACCGGAAGUAUUGAUUAUUAGUAAAUUAAUUUAUGUUAUUAAUUUGGAUAAAAUGAUUGUAAUUAUUUUAAAUCUUUGAAGUAUAGUAGAUAGUAAUUUUAAAUAAAGUAGAUAAUAAUUAGGAAUCUAGGUUAAUUAGGUUGUUUAAGUAUUUUGGGGAUCUACCCAUGUAUAAAUUAGGUAAUAGCUAUUCCUUUUAAUAGGAUACUGAUGCAUUGAGAGGAGAAGGUGAACAAAAUUUUGAGUUUAGCAAACUUCAUUAACCAGUGUUGGAAAAAAAUGCUGUAAUUUUCUAUACAUGAUUCUAAAUUGUUCACCUUUUGAAGCAUUGGAAACUAGAUUCAUAAACCUUUCAAAUGACAAUUAAUUUAAGCCUAUAAAUGUGGGAGGGGGCGGGUUAGUGCUUUGAAUGUUUUGUUGAUUUGAAUAUAUAUGUUGAGCUUUGCUCUUUUUAUCUAAUUUUCUUCUCUUUGAGAUAUUUUAAAUUUCUAUAGUUUCUCCUUGACCUUGUUCUCCUGCAUCAGAUACCUAUCAUAUCUUAAUAGUAUUAAAGUUUUACUUGGUAUCUAACAUUCGAGUUUAUUUUGUCUAUAAGUAUUAGGUUUUCUAUAUGAGUCUUGCAUUCCUUACCUAAUGAAUAAAGAAUUGAAUAUUGAUUUGAGAUUGAGCUUUAUGCCAUUUUGGCCUUGGGGCAUGGUUUUUCUUCCGCUAUCCCCUUCUUUCUUCCUCCUUUAUCCCUUCCCUAAAUCCGUCUAGACCUUGUCCUGCAUCAAUGUGAUAAAAGAAUUUAUUCAAACUUGUGUGUCGUAUGUCCAUAACUUUAUAUCAAAAGUGAGCUUACCGAUGUUCUUUUUUUGCAAUUAAUACUACCCUUCCACCUCCAGAUAACAUUUUUUUUACCUCUCUACAUACAAGUCAUGCACACCAUUCAAAGGGCCUUUAGAAUAAUAAAAUAAAACAUAUGGUUAGUAGGAAAACAACUUGAGGCGAGUACUCUGGCUUCAGACAAUCCUCAGCUUCCACCACCCAAAACAGCAUCCUUAUAAUCUCACAACAAAUUUAGGACUGCUCUCCAUGUCCAUCAUUCUUGAUGUCAUUCUACCACUUGUUAAUACAAAAAACUUCAACCAUUCCAGAAAUUUGUUAUAUUUUGCUUGCGUACAAAGUCUGGCAAUGGCCAUUACCAUAGACGCCUUGGCAUCCUGGCGCAUGAGCAUGCAACAAGUCGAUACUAGCGCCUUGGCAGCUAGGCGUCCACAAGUCAUCGCCGAGGCGACGCCUUGGCCGCUUAGUUGCCAAGGUGAGCGCCAAGGCAGCUUGGUCAGAUUGGAAGACAUGUUCACUUCGACUUGUCGACUCACUCAACAUCACUUGACGAUGUUUGCGACACACACACAACAACUAUUACUUCUAUUACAGAAGGCAAAAGAAAAAAAAACGGGUUGGGGCAUAAGAAGAAGAAAGAAUAAAGUGCCUUUUGACUUCUAGCUGUCGCCAACUAGCUACUUUUGUUCUUUUUCUCUCUUCUGUUAAAUUUAAUUGCUAGCUGUCAUCCACUAAAGAUUUUAAUGUACUGAAGUGAUUCAUUGCCGCUUAACAAAACAAAAUAGAUGUGUUCUACGUGUUUGUUCUAGGUCAUGAUUUUUUAACAAAAUAAUAAAUACUUUUUUCUUCUCAUAAAAAAGUAAUAAAAUAAUAAUAUUUUUUUAAAAAAGAAGUAACCCUCUCUUUCUCCAUGAAUUAUUAGUUGAAACUUAGUUUUAUUGCAUGUACAAUAACUCUUAAAAGUUAUAAUUUUGACCACAUAAAUCAUAAAAACUCAUGCAACUCCAAAUAAUAUAUAAAUAAUAUUUUUUCCUAAAAUUAAAUGUAUAUUUUAUAUUGGUUUAAUAUAUUUUUUAAGUGCAAGACAUGAGAAAAAUGCAUGAGAAAAUUAAAUAAUAAUUUUGGUUCAUUGUACUUUUGAUGUAAAAUAAAUAAUAUAUAAAUUGCAUACUGUGAACGACUUGUCGCUAUACGGACGCCAUGAUGGGCGCUUUAUCGCCUAGGCGUUGUCGCAUUGGCGGUUAGUUAUUGUCAUGCCUCGCUGUGGCGCAGUGACAACUAUGACCAUUACAAGGACGUAGUUAAAAAUGAUGAAUACCUAUGUGAUUUGUUGAUUACUUGUAGUGAAAUACUUCCUCUGCCCUCAAUUAUUGAAACACUUUUUUUUGGUGUGUGACACGGAGUUUAAGAUGAAUCAAAAACAUAUUUAGAUAUUAUAGCUUAUGUAUAUUUAUAUAUUUUGGCAUAUUUAGAUGUUAUAUUUUUAUUUGUAGUACAAAAUUUUUAAUAAUAUAAUAUUUAAAUAUAAUUUUGGCAUGUCUUAAAUCCGUGCCAGACACCAAAAAAAGUGUUUCAAUAAUUCUGGGACGGAGGUAGUAUAACAAUGUCCUAUGCAUUACCCAUUUUAUUCAUUCUCACUCAUGUCAAUUAUCAUAUGUUGGCAUUAAUGUUUUGUUUGCUUGGGUUACUCCUAGUUUGAUUUAUCAGCAUCAGAAAAUCAACUAUUAUACUCCCUCCGUUCCAAGUUAUAAAAUCGACCCAACUAUUAUAAUCCCUCCGUUCCAAGUUAUAAAAUCAUUAUUGAUUUUAGAAAAUCAAUUUACAUUUUUAAACUAAAAAAUUAUAUGCUUCAUUAACAAUUAUGAAAAAAUAAAUCUUAUAAUUUUAUAGUGCUUUUUACUUAGUUUAUGAUAUUCAUCAUUGCAUUGAUUAAAAUUAAAAGAAUCUAUGUCAAUAUUGAGUAUGAAAAUGUCUCAAUUGACUUUAAAAAGUCAAUAAUGAUCUUAUAUGUUGGAACGGAGAGAGUAUUAUAAUAAAUAUUGUUUGCUGUAAUCUUUGUAUUUGUUUUCUUAGAUUCAGAAUUUGACUUAUUACCUAUUAAUACAGCCUCUCUUCAACUCUUGGUGGGAAAUGGCAAAACAUGCUAAGGUUUAAAAACAAGAAUUAGGUUUGAUGAGGAUCCAAGAUUGCUUAUUUGGUGCCUCGAUAAUCUUCUCUGCUAACACUGGCUUGGGUUCCCCAGUGGUAAAGUUUUUCUGUUCAUAUCUUUUAUAUGCUUUUCAAUUUUCAUUAUUUUACCCAUCACAUAUUGUUACUUGGACAAAUAUUUCUUUAAAUUAAUGCUCAAUUUUCAUUAUUUUACCCAUCACAUAAUGUUACUGAGAACACUUUCUUUAAAUAAAUGCUAUACAUCAAAUUUUGCCUUGAUAUAGUUGUGGUGAACUCAUUGUUCUUUUGUUCUCAAUUUUGACUAAAUAUAUGCUAAGCAGAUUUUUUAUGUAGGUUUUGGUGCAGUAUUGAUACUUGAGAGGUAGAUGAUUCUUGUAGAUGACUUGCUGUAUCAAUGAUAAAUGUGCAUUCGUUUCAUCAAAGUUGAUUGUAUUUCUCAAUUCGUCCUUCUCUGCUUCAUCUUCUUUUAGCCAUCUUUUUAAGGUAAUAUGCUUAAUUGAACUUUAUUUCGUAUUUUGUUCAUAAAAAAGUGUUCUACAAAUUUUUAGAUGAGAUGGCAUAUAAUGCCUCCAAUCACAUGCUGAUCCACAUUCUACUUCACACUUUUAUACGAGUAACCUUUGUCACAUUCAUGCUUUAGUAAGUCCCUUCUGGCAUGCUUAACCUCGAGCUCCCAAGUGAUGCUGACCAAGUUUUUGAUGACUGAAUCAUGUUUGUGGUCCAUCAGUUGACAUCGUUAGAUUUUGUAAUGUUUCUUUUGGAGCCUUAUCUUUUUUUCCAUCUCCAUAUAGAAGAGGGAACUAAGAAAUUUCUGUUAAUGAAGAUCUGAGGGACUUAUAAUUGCCCCCUUCUAUGUAUAUCACUGUCACACAUUGCUCACUCAUUUAUCGCUUCACUCUUUUAUACCGGUGACCUCUGUAAAAUUUCUGCUUUAGAAAGAUCUUCUGGCAUCUUCAGGUCGAAUUUUUCCAGAGGCGCUGGGAGUUAAGAAUGGCAGACAAUCAUCCUUUGCAUUCACAUGUAGUGAAUGUCCUAUAAUUGACCUUACCGACAUGGCUCUCCAUCUAAUUAGAUAGGUCUCCUAUUUCAAAAUCUAGGGGCUCAAGACAAUAUGCUUUUACCUCCAAACUAACACACAAUUAUCAAUAUGAACCUAAAUUUCUACGAGCAAUAUUAAGGUGCUGAUUAGAUCUUUCCUGCUGCUUGGUAUUUUUUAAGAAUCUCCAACACAUACCUUUUUUUCCUGAUUGAUUUAUGUUUUUAUUGCAUAAUAAUUUUUCGUCAUGGGUUUACAGAUAUUGCAUAAUGGGAUUUUGUAGGUGAAAAAAGUGCAGCCAGUGUGCUAGCGAAGCUUAAGUUUAAUCGAUAUACUCAGUUUCAUUACAUGAUAAUAAUUUGGAUCUUCUUGGUCGACAGGCAUAUGUGAGUUCUCUAGUUGGUUUGCAUUUUUUUCAUUCUCUUCUAGAUAUUUUUUUAUAGUCUUCUGAUAUGUUUGUUAUGGAACAGAUUUUUUUCCAGUUUGUCGCCUAAGGGAUCGGGACCUAGGAUUUGGUAUUUGGGGUUUGGUCUAAUCAUUCAUGAUUGCCUGCAGCUCAGGAGGUUUUUGAGAGCAUCAGUUUUUCCCCUGUGAGGAGAGAGGGUAAUAUGGUUGCCCAUGGGUUAACUAAAUUGGUUCAUUCUCCUGUGUUUUUUUUUGUAUUUAAUGGGAGGAGUACCUGAUUUUAUCCUUCCUCUUGUUACUUUGGAUGCUCUGGCUUAAUUUAUUUAAGUCCUCUUUUGGGCUGUUUCAAAAAUAAAAUAAAAUAAAA